rnacentral:lncRNA from 1 species
CAACUUCAUAUCAUAGAGCUAUCCUAAUCAAAGUGUUUUGCAGCGGAAAACGUGUGAGAUAUACAUAUGAAGAUGUAUACUCAAGGUUACAUUUCUUAAAAUGUCAAAGGAACACCUGCUCAACAUCAUUCCAUUCCAUCAACUGCUCAACCUGCACAUUUAGAAAUACAUGCAGGGCUGAGUAUAAAAAUACUCAGUGGGCAUAGCCGAAAAUACAACAUGCAUACAUAUAUAAAUUGAACUGCCAUAACAGUAACACACAGGGGUUUUCUUAAAUGACCUGCGCUUACUAAAAUAUUUCUUUCAUUUUCAUAAAGUCGAUCGGCCGAUCAUUUUCCUUCAUAUGAUCCAUAUCUGUUCCUUUCUGUCACGCGCCGGGAAGGAGGCCUCCUUACCACGGACGCCAAGACCGGUCGCAAGCGACUCGCGGUCUCCAUGAGUGUACACGUUAACCCUAGCUAGCGACCUUUGUCUAGCAUAGGAUCCCAAUUGGAUUUCCUUUAAAGUUGGCGAACCAACACAGAUAGGAUACAUAUAAAAACAUAAACAUUUUGGCAGUCAAUCAUUUCAUAAACAUUUCAUUUUCAUAACAUUUUCAUUUUCAUAAAGGGCAUUGAACAUAUAAGCAUUUUAUAAGAACUGAAUAAAUAGUCAAAACAUAUCAUGCAUAUAUAUUCGCAUAUGAGGCCUACGUCACGCAGGGGAUCUCUAUAUACGUAAUAAUAAAAUAAUGCCCACCUGGAUAGGCAAAGCCUGAAGAUCAUAAUCACAUAAACUCGUCUUGGGAAAGCAGCGCUAAUCCCCUUGGUUCAUAAAGCCUACAAGAAAUUCUAUUCUUAAUAGGUCUCGUGAAACUAACUUAAAGUCUUAGUGGAUGUACUAAACAUACUUGAUUCAUCACGCCGGGUUUCCAAAAUUUAGUAAAUAAAUAAUUGAAAACUAAAUUCUUGAGUUAAGGACACCAACAAUAUCCUUACUCGAUUUUCUUAAAAAUUGGAAUUAUAAUUAAAACCAAUUAAAUACUUUUAUUGCAAGUAAAAAUGCAAUUUCAUGUCAUGCUUAGCAUAUAAUAAGUAAUUUACUUAAAAUAUGCACAUAAUAAUAAUUUAAUAUUAUUAUGAAAACAAAUCUUUGAAUAAAUUAAUUAAACUAAUUAAUAGUCCAAUUAAUUAAUAUAAGUGUAGUCCAUUUAAUUAAUAGAAGACAGCCCAAAAUUUUUAAAUAAAUAAAGGCCCAACUAUUAAUUAAAACUGAGUCCAUGUUGAAUAAAUAAAAUUAGCCCAGAUUCAAUUAAAAGAAAAUCGGCCCAUAACUUAUUUAAAUAAACUGAGCCCAAUACUCAAGCCCAACACUCUAGUCCUAAAGGAAAAGACUCGGCCCAGAUGAUUUAAUUCGGCCCAAAAUAGGAGCCCAAAAGAAAAAGAGCCAAACACUCGGCCCACUAUCCAAACCAAACACAAAGCCUUCCUCCCCCCUUCUUCUCCCCCAUCAGCCGCACAACACACACACACACACACAAUUUGCAGAUCUCACUCUCUCUCUCUCUCGUCGGACUUCACGGCCGCGUGCCACCAUCCCGGCGACGAGCGCCGCUCUGUCAUCCUCACCAUCACCCUCGACCCCUCUAUUCUCCUCCCUCAAAUCUCUCUCGACUGUCUCCCUCAAACGUCCGUGGCCGAGCAGCAGCNAGCCCAAACCUCUAAGCCCAACCCAAGCCCAACAACCCCAAACUAAGCCUAAGUCUUCCUCCCCCCUUCUUCUCCCCCAUCUGUCGCACAACACUCACACACACAUACAAUUUGUCAGAUCUCACUCUCUCUCUCUCUCUCGGACUUCACGGCCGCGUGCCACCAUCCCGGCGACGAGCGCCGCUCUGUCAUCCUCACCAUCACCCUCGACCCCUCCUAUUCUCCUCCCUCAAAUCUCUCUCGACUGUCUCCCUCAAACGUCCUGGCCGAGCAGUAGCAGCCAUGGCGCCAGCUCUGCCUUCCUCCGCUGAACUCCGGCUGCCACGACCAGUAGCUGGUCGCCGCCCCUUCUCACCCUCUCUCUCUCCGUCCUCGGCCCGACAUCAGCGGGCAGAGCCGCCGUGCAGCGGCCUCCUCUCUCUCUCACUUCCGCCAACGAGUAGCGGAAGCCGCUCUCUUCCCCGACUCCUUCCUCAGAUCGACGGCAGCAAGGCCGCCGGCCGUCACCCCUCUUCGGUCUCCAGCGAGCAAAACAGACGGCCACCACCGCCGUCCGCCGACUCCGACUCUCCUCACCCUCCUCGCUGCUCGUCUCCCUCUCGACUGCUCUCACGGCCGCUGGAGCUCGCCGGAGCAACGGCGACAACCACUACCCCUCGGUUCUCCCUUCUCUCGGCUGAAACAGGCCCGACAUCCCACCGCGAAGAGCGGCGCCCGAGCCCUAGCUCCCUCUCUCUCACCGUGGCCGGGCGACAGCAGCGCCGCUGCCGUGCCGUGCCUCCGUCCACCUCCCGACUCAAUUCACACAGCCACCACACUCGUCUACCCGACUCGACACAGCAGUUCGUAAACAAAGGAGUAAAAAAACAAAGAAGCUUCAAUAUCUACUCUUUCUUUUUUUAAAAAAAACAAUGCUUCAUGUAUGUAUGUAUAUGCACAGACGAUAAAUAAACAUCAUUGAGUUUGGGUCUUGUUGUCAUAUGCAAAUUUAUAUAUGAUGGAAUCAGUGUACGUGUUAUGUAUGGGUUCUAACUUGAGUUUCUGUUUCAAAAGAAGUGCUCGAGUAAGAGAGUUAGAGGUUUAACCUUCAAAAGAAAUCUGUUGGGUUAUCAUUCUGCAAAUCUUCUGAAUUUGUUCAGUAGCUGAUGUGCUGAAAAUUGAUGAGGGAGAUGAAAUGUGUGGGAUGAUUGUGGAGGAUAGAAAAUGGAAGCUCGGAUCAACCAGCUAUAUUAAGUUUGCAAAAAGAAGGGAGUAGGUGGGUGUGAGAGGGAGUAGGUGGAAGGAAGUAGGUGGGAGAGUAAUAUAAAAUAAGGUCUUCCGGGUUGUAUUAUGAAAACUGUAAUAAUCGUUCAGUGUUUGCUUAAAUAAAUAGCUCGUGUAGAUGUUAAAUGCUUAAUAUUCAAUUUAAAUAAAUAUGAAAAUGCAUAAGAAUUUAAAUGACUAACAUUUACAAAGAGGAUUUUGCAAAUCGUUUGUUGGAAUUAAAAUAAAUUCAUUUUCUUUAUAUCCGGCGUGAAUCAUCUUACUUCUAAAUUUUGAAAAUAAAUUCUAAAUUUAACUCAGGGAAACGGGGUAUUACA